rnacentral:snRNA from 1 species
ACUUGUAAUGGUCUUCUGGUUGCA